rnacentral:rRNA from 1 species
GGACCCGCACAAGCAGCGGAGCGUGUGGUUUAAUUCGAUGGAACACGAAGAACCUUACCCAGGUUUGACAUACUAGUGGUAGUGAACUGAAAGGGGAACGACCCGCAAGGGAGCUAGUACAGGUGUUGCAUGGCUGUCGUCAGCUCGUGUCGUGAGAUGUUGGUUUAAGUACCCUAACGAGCGCAACCCUUAUUGCCAGUUACACGUAUCUGGCGAGACUGCCGGCCACAAGCCGGAGGAAGGCGAGGAUGACGUCAAGUCAGCAUGGCCUUUAUAUCUGGGGCUACACACACGCUACAAUGGGCGUAACAAUGGGAUGCCAAGCCGUGAGGCGGAGCCAAUCCCCCAAAUACGUCCUCAGUUCAGAUUGCAGGCUGCAACCCGCCUGCAUGAAGUCGGAGUUGCUAGUAAACGCGCGUCAGCUAUAGUGCGUUGAAUACGUUCCCGGGUCUU